rnacentral:rRNA from 1 species
AUUGAACGCUGGCGGCAUGCCUUACACAUGCAAGUCGAACGGCAGCACGGGUGCUUGCACCUGGUGGCGAGUGGCGAACGGGUGAGUAAUACAUCGGAACAUGUCCUGUAGUGGGGGAUAGCCCGGCGAAAGCCGGAUUAAUACCGCAUACGAUCUACGGAUGAAAGCGGGGGCCCUUCGGGCCUCGCGCUAUAGGGUUGGCCGAUGGCUGAUUAGCUAGUUGGUGGGGUAAAGGCCUACCAAGGCGACGAUCAGUAGCUGGCCUGAGAGGACGACCAGCCACACUGGGACUGAGACACGGCCCAGACUCCUACGGGAGGCAGCAGUGGGGAAUUUUGGACAAUGGGCGAAAGCCUGAUCCAGCAAUGCCGCGUGUGUGAAGAAGGCCUUCGGGUUGUAAAGCACUUUUGUCCGGAAAGAAAUCCUUGGCCCUAAUACGGUCGGGGGAUGACGGUACCGGAAGAAUAAGCACCGGCUAACUACGUG